rnacentral:rRNA from 1 species
CACCUGAUCCCAUGCCGAACUCAGCAGUGAAACCGCUUAGCGCCGAUGGUAGUGUGGGGUUUCCCCAUGUGAGAGUAGGUCAUCGUCAGGC